rnacentral:rRNA from 1 species
CGCACAGUAAACGAUGAAUACCAGCUGUUGGCGAUAGACAGUCAGCGGCGUAAGCGAAAGCGUUAAGUAUUCCACCUGGGGAGUACGCCGGCAACGGUGAAACUCAAAGGAAUUGACGGGGGCCCGCACAAGCGGAGGAACAUGUGGUUUAAUUCGAAGCAACGCGAAGAACCUUACCAGGUCUUGACAUCCCGAUGACCGCUCUAGAGAUAGAGUUUUCCCUUCGGGGACAUUGGUGACAGGUGG